ACAUACGACCAUAGGAAGUGGAAAAUAGGGCUUCCCGUCCGCUCAGCCGUACUCAAGCCACUUGCCGGUCAGUUAGUAGUAUGGUGGGUGACCACAUGCGAAUCCUGACUGUUGUAUGUCAUU
rnacentral:rRNA from 1 species